CGCUCAACGUGGGGCUCGAACCCACGACCCUGAGAUUAAAAGUCUCAUACUCCACCGACUAAGCAAAAAGAUAGAGAUGC